rnacentral:rRNA from 1 species
GUUAAGCGACUAAGCGUACACGGUGGAUGCCCUGGCAGUCAGAGGCGAUGAAGGACGUGCUAAUCUGCGAUAAGCGUCGGUAAGGUGAUAUGAACCGUUAUAACCGGCGAUUUCCGAAUGGGGAAACCCAGUGUGUUUCGACACACUAUCAUUAACUGAAUCCAUAGGUUAAUGAGGCGAACCGGGGGAACUGAAACAUCUAAGUACCCCGAGGAAAAGAAAUCAACCGAGAUUCCCCCAGUAGCGGCGAGCGAACGGGGAGCAGCCCAGAGCCUGAAUCAGUAUGUGUGUUAGUGGAAGCGUCUGGAAAGGCGCGCGAUACAGGGUGACAGCCCCGUACACAAAAAUGCACAUGCUGUGAGCUCGAUGAGUAGGGCGGGACACGUGGUAUCCUGUCUGAAUAUGGGGGGACCAUCCUCCAAGGCUAAAUACUCCUGACUGACCGAUAGUGAACCAGUACCGUGAGGGAAAGGCGAAAAGAACCCCGGCGAGGGGAGUGAAAAAGAACCUGAAACCGUGUACGUACAAGCAGUGGGAGCACGCUUAGGCGUGUGACUGCGUACCUUUUGUAUAAUGGGUCAGCGACUUAUAUUCUGUAGCAAGGUUAACCGAAUAGGGGAGCCGAAGGGAAACCGAGUCUUAACUGGGCGUUAAGUUGCAGGGUAUAGACCCGAAACCCGGUGAUCUAGCCAUGGGCAGGUUGAAGGUUGGGUAACACUAACUGGAGGACCGAACCGACUAAUGUUGAAAAAUUAGCGGAUGACUUGUGGCUGGGGGUGAAAGGCCAAUCAAACCGGGAGAUAGCUGGUUCUCCCCGAAAGCUAUUUAGGUAGCGCCUCGUGAAUUCAUCUCCGGGGGUAGAGCACUGUUUCGGCAAGGGGGUCAUCCCGACUUACCAACCCGAUGCAAACUGCGAAUACCGGAGAAUGUUAUCACGGGAGACACACGGCGGGUGCUAACGUCCGUCGUGAAGAGGGAAACAACCCAGACCGCCAGCUAAGGUCCCAAAGUCAUGGUUAAGUGGGAAACGAUGUGGGAAGGCCCAGACAGCCAGGAUGUUGGCUUAGAAGCAGCCAUCAUUUAAAGAAAGCGUAAUAGCUCACUGGUCGAGUCGGCCUGCGCGGAAGAUGUAACGGGGCUAAACCAUGCACCGAAGCUGCGGCAGCGACGCUGAUGCGUUGUUGGGUAGGGGAGCGUUCUGUAAGCCUG